CUGUGAGGGAACAGGCAGGGCUUCUAUAAAGCCAGGAGGCUUGAAACCAUAGGUAGUAAGAAAGAAGUUUGCAGUCUCUUUCUGAGGUAGCAUGCAUGUCAUGUGAUGCUAUAGCUGCCAUGAUGAGUGCUGCUGUAACAGCCAUAACAUCUGCUCUGCGGAACUACUAAGAACUUUGUCCAUGCCACUUCCAGCUAAUCCUCAGUGCCCUCUCCCCACAUGGGGCAUGUCCCACACUUUGAGAAACAUUGACUUAAACUAUCAAGCAUCAAUAAGGUCAACCCACCCACAGCACCCCCUGUUCAGCAUAAAAUGGGGGGGGGGGGAGGAGGGGAAGAGCGCUAUAAAUGUUCAAACAAGCUGUACAAAAGGGCGUGGGUUUUCUUGGUACAUGUUGUUGAUGCCAUGCUUGUUAAACACACAGGUGGUGAGGAGGGGAAGUGGUUUCUCUCCAAAUGAAACACACAAUUCUGUGUUUUUUAAAAAUAAAGCUGCAUGUUUCCUUAUCAGA